rnacentral:lncRNA from 1 species
AAAUGUUAUGCUGCAAGCAUAAAUUGAAGAUAAUUUUUGUUGGACUGCUGCUGCAUCCAUAAAAAUGAAGUAUUGCAGCUCUGUUUGUGGUUUCUUCCAACCUACCCUGCCUCAGACACUGCCAGUGAAGUUCAGCUACUUAUAAGGGAGAAUGGGAGCAAGAGGAGAUAUGAAAAAAGAGAGAACAUGCAAAGAGCAGACACUACUGGUCAUUGCCUGCCAAAAAAGAACCGUGUGUAUACACAUCCACAGCUUCAGCAGCUCCUCACAACAGGACUGAAAUUACGACUUUACCUUUUAACUACGAUAUGGAUUCUGUUCAUGUGAGAAAAGCAAUGUGAAGUUUACCCAGAGAGAUGCCAGAUGCUUUUCAAGUAACCCUGACUUCAGUUCCACACAAACAGACAGUAUAUCUCCCAUGAAGGACAUUUCUUUGGCUAUAGCUGCCAAGGGACUUCACCCUUUGUUGGUGAGGACACUGUCAUCUCCUGCCCACAGGUUGCCCUCAGCUCAUAGCUCGCUGUUCCCUAUGGAGCAGCUAAGUCUGGCUGCUUCCUGACUGAGCAAACAGCCUUUCUCCUGAAGCUUUGAGCUUAGCUCUACCCCGUGCUGGAGAGUGGCACACUGCUGAGCAACAGCAAAUACAAAUUACUUCUUCCAUAGACCAAACAUUUUCUACUCAUUGACACUGUCAUAAAAAUGUAGAUUCAUAUAAUCAUAGAAUGGUUUGUGUUGGAAGAUACCUUAAAAACCAUCUAGUUCCAACAUCCCUGCCAUGGGCAGAGACAUAUUCCACUAGACCAGGUUGCUCAAAGCCUAUGUUGUGUUUAU